rnacentral:rRNA from 1 species
UACGUAGGCAGCAAGCGUUGUUCGGAGUUACUGGGCGUAAAGGGUGCGUAGGCGGCCUCUUAAGUUUGGUGUGAAAUCUCCCGGCUCAACUGGGAGGGUGCGCCGGAAACUGAGAGGCUAGAGUGUGGGAGAGGAGAGUGGAAUUCCUGGUGUAGCGGUGAAAUGCGUAGAUAUCAGGAGGAACACCGGUGGCGCAAGCGGCUCUCUGGACCACCACUGACGCUGAGGCACGAAAGCGUGGGGAGCAAACAGG